rnacentral:tRNA from 1 species
GGAGAGAUGACCGAGCGGCCGAAGGUGUACGACUGGAACUCGUAUGUGCCUGAAAGGGUACCGAGGGUUCAAAUCCCUCUCUCUCCG